GAUGACCCAUUGUCUAGUUUGGGAACCAAUGGGAAAAUAUUUUAUAUAGACCUCUAGAUAAACCCUCGGAGAAAACUUUCCCCAGGGUGGGAACAUCACAGUUUCAAGUGACACUGACGGCAGAGAUUUUGAGAUCUCAGGGAAAAUAACAUUAGACCAGUUCUAGUUGGACAAUACUAUCCUUAUGUAUUGAUAUACAUAUUUUAGUCAGAUGACCUUGGUUGAAAUAAUUUAUUAGAUCUACCAAAGUUAAAAAAGUAAUGAUUUUCUCAUAGGCCUAUCUGGGAACAGAGACAUUUCCCAUUUUUGGGAGCAAGUAGGGUUUUUCCCAUAUUGGGAACAAAUAGCCUAUAUACCAAACUUUACUCUUUUUGAUGUAUUUAAUUACCUUUUAUGUUCAUGUGCUGAGUAUGAUAAGCGUAAAUUAAAAGCCUGCAAGUCCUGUGAUGACUAUCGCCUUUUCUUUGAUGGUCACGUAGAAAAUUUGGAAUUCAAUCCAUUGGGAGAAAGUCGAUAUAUAUUCUCUAUUCCGGGCAAAAGUGAGACCAACGCAGAGGACAUCUGUGGGAUUAUAUGACCUUUGGAUUUGUUUGGGAAAGGAACACGGAAAUGCUUCCAGAAUAAAGCUCAGAAAUAAAAGAAAAUGUACCACUGACAUCAUAUCAACACAAAGUAGAAUGACCACAUCAGAGCCAUCUCAACACUCACAACAGGAAAUGGUUUCAAGUAAUUUAAAGAUGCCAAGGAAUGGGGAGGUUCCAAAAUGUUUGUCAAAUGGGGAACAAAAAACAAAGCUGACUUUGCAGCAAAAGAACAGACAGGAUACUGGUGCAGCUGGCACCACUUCUUGACACGGGGCACCACCACUUCCUGACCCAGGGCACCACCAUUUCCUGACCCAGGGUACCACCACUUCCUGGCCCAGGGCACCACCACUUCCUGACCCAGGGCACCACCACUUCCUGACCUGGACCUAGAUGUUAAAAUGGACAUUUUGAAGAAGAGCCAUGCCAGUCUCUGUCCAAGAAACCAAAAUUAGAGAAAACUCAAGGUAUGUGACCUGGGAAGAAUUUGAAAAACUGAAAAAUGACUUCUUGAAACUGAAGAAGAAAAUGGAGAAGUAAAAAACCUUAGAACCCAUGCAAGUUUCAAGAAAGGCCAGCCAAACACACCACCGUGAACCAACAACACCAACAACACCUAGAACAUCACAGCAGACAGACUCGACAAGGAUAUCCCAAUCAACACCAACACCACAGCAGACUGAUACAACAAAGACAACAGAACAAACAUCAUCAUCAUCAUCAUCAUCAUCAUUAUCAUCAUCAUCAUCAUCAUCAACAGACAUACAGACAUACAAUGGUCACACAUUGAGUGACUUGAUGGAUAUGGUGUGCCACAAAGAUAAUCUUUAUGCGUGUUGUGCACACCAUAUUACUGGUUCUGUUUCCAGUAAAUUAUAUUGUAUCACACAGUGUGACAGGACAGAGGACAAACAGUCAUUGUGCUGCCAAACCCAAAUUUGAUGGUCGGCUUUACAACAUUUUCCUCGCUGUCUUGGGGUGUAGAGGGGUGUUAUGAGUACAUGUACUUUAAAAAAAAUAAUGCCAUUGAAUUAGAUUUCCAGAGCAAAUAAUGAAGUGAUUUUUAUUGGUAUGUUUUGUCAAAUCUUAUUAUCUAAGAUAUUUUAGAAUUAUACAUGCAUGUCCAUUGUGUAAUUUUAUUGUUUUCAAUCUGUGCUAACAGUUGUAUAUUAUUUUAGAAAGAUCCUUUUUUUCAAGACGCUACUUUUGCUUUUGAUGUUUGCUAUAAUAAUGAAAAAAAUGUACAUGUAUGCAUGUACAUUGUACAUAGUUAAUCAUGUGGCCUUACUGUUCUCCAUAAAGGUACUGUAUUGUUUUUUUUUUAUUAUAAUUGUCAACCAACUCUCAAGUACAUUAGACUUUUUACAACUAUAAGGUUAAACCAGGUCGACCAUGGUUAAUCAUGGUUUGACCAUGGAUAAUUAGACCAUGGUCAAUCGUGGUCAACCAUGGUCACGGUUCGCAGGGGUCAGUCCUUUGUAGUUUGACUUGAAGCAGUUUACAGGUUUAUGAGGAGUUGACUGAAAAAAAUUCCCCCUACACCCAAAAAACAAAGUAUAGUGACCUGGUUACCAUGGUAACCACAAAAUUACAACAUGAUCUAGAUAACGCUCAUCUACAAUGUGUAAAAAACAAAAGAGGUAAACCAUCAUAUUUAUUAUUGCAUACAAUCUCUCAUGUAAGGGACAUAACUCUGGUCUUGUCCUUUAUUAAAUUAUCUCCCUUUGAUUGUUUCACACUGGUCUGUAAGUGUUGUUCAGUUUCAGACAGAGUUGCUACAAUUAAGCCAUUUGCUUUUCAAAGUAGACAAGUUGGCAUACAUAUUCCACAAUGUUGUCUCCUUAUUCUGAAAUGUAUUAAGCUGAUUGUACACAUUAGCAUUUAAGCAUGACUAUGAUGUUACUUAUUUCACUUUUUAAUUUUUGUGCUUUUAAUCUGUUGCCUAAAAAGUACAUGUCAAAUUAAACUAAACUUGGUAUAAAUGUAGUUAGAUCACACAGUGAAAAUCUCAACAACACAGCCUUCAUUUAUAGAAUAUCUUCCAGAAUCUAUGGAACAGUGACUCUGGAAAUUAAGAUUGCUGGGAAUCUAGAAAUUUUUGGUUCUUAAUGUGUUCAUAUCCUGAUCAGUUUCUCAAAAAGUAUCAAUGUUACUUCUACCAAACUGGAAUAUAGUUGUAUUGUUGUAUGAACAUCUUGACACACCCUACAUAAUACAUGAAUUUUGGGGUUAAAAAUGAAAUAUUUAUCUGAAUUUUGAGAAUUUGUGAUUUUGUAAUAUUGUCCAAUAUUUAUUUUGCAAUGCAUCAAUAUUUACUCAUGUCUAUGAUAUGUAGAGAGUGCUUCCAUGCUAUGUGGAAAUGUUUUGGAAAAAGUACUGGAAUUUCAGUGAAUUUUGGAGUUUGCCUAAAACUUGACAUUUUAAUUAGCCUCUGUCUUGACACUGCUAUAAUAAUGUGUAAUUUCUUUUGUCUUUGUUGUUUUGUGAAACAUCACUAUCCGUGUAUUUGAUAUUUUUUUAGUUUGGAACUAUUUCAACUGUUUACACUAUAAGACACAUGAUUUUGGAAUUAUAUGUAAAUAUUUAUACAUUUAUUAAUACCAUUGUUAACAUGUU